rnacentral:rRNA from 1 species
UACAGAGGAGGCAAGCGUUGUUCGGAAUCAUUGGGCUUAAAGCGCGUGUAGGCGGCUCCGUAAGUGCCUUGUGAAAACCAGCGGCUCAACCGUUGAAGUGCAGGGCAUACUGCGUGGCUUGAGGUUGGUAGGGGUGCUCGGAACUCUAGGUGGAGCGGUGAAAUGCGUAGAUAUCUAGAGGAACGCCUGAGGCGAAAGCGGAGCAUUGGGCCAAAUCUGACGCUGAGACGCGAAAGCGUGGGGAGCAAACAGG